rnacentral:rRNA from 1 species
UACGGGGGGGGCAAGCGUUGUUCGGAAUUACUGGGCGUAAAGGGCUCGUAGGCGGCCUUCUAAGUCGAACGUGAAAUCCCCGGGCUCAACCCGGGAACUGCGUCCGAGACUGGAAGGCUUGAAUCCGGGAGAGGGAUGUGGAAUUCCAGGUGUAGCGGUGAAAUGCGUAGAUAUCUGGAGGAACAUCGGUGGCGAAGGCAGCUCGCUGGGACGGUACUGACGCUGAGGCGCGAAAGCGUGGGGAGCAAACAGG